GGCCUUAUGGUCUAGUAGCAUGAUUCCUCGUUUGGGUUUGAUCCUAGUGAUUGAUUGAUGAUCGAGGAGGUCCUGGGUUCAACUCCCAGUGAGGCCC